GAUGAACGCUGGCGGCGUGCCUAAUACAUGCAAGUCGAGCGAACGGACGAGAAGCUUGCUUCUCUGAUGUUAGCGGCGGACGGGUGAGUAACACGUGGAUAACCUACCUAUAAGACUGGGAUAACUUCGGGAAACCGUAGCUAAUACCGGAUAAUAUUUUGCACCGCAUGGUUCAUAAGUGAAAGACGGUCUUGCUGUCACUUAUAGCUGGAUCCGCGCUGCAUUAGCUAGUUGGUAAGGUAACGGCUUACCAAGGCAACGAUGCAUAUCCGACCUGAGAGGGUGAUCGGCCACACUGGAGCGUAGACACGGUCCAUACUCCUACGGGAGGCAGCAGUAUGGAAUCUUCCGCAAUGGGCGAAAGCCUGACGGAGCAACGCCGCGUGAGUGAUGAAGGUCUUCGGAUCGUAAAACUCUGUUAUUAGGGAAGAACAUAUGUGUAAGUAACUGUGCACAGCUUGACGGUACCUAAUCAGAAAGCCACGGCUAACUACGUG
rnacentral:rRNA from 1 species